ensembl:lncRNA
CCAGAAAGCCCUUUGUUUGCUCAACACUGUGAAGAUUAUGUUUGAAGGGAGAAGAUGGAAAUGGGGCAAGAAUGAUUUUCUCUACGUAAUAAAGUGGGGGGGGGGUGGCGGAGGUUGAGGAAGGAAGCCAGGAGUGGCCUGGUGGGGAGGACAGAACCUUGGAGAUUCACCUGUUCAAUGAAGAGUUUUAGAGUGGUUUCUUUUGCAGUGUGGGGUUGAUCUUUCUUUUCCAUUUCUCAUGUGAAACCUUCAGAAAAGUCUUUAGUUGUAAAAACUAAUGUUUUUAGUCCGAACACAAUGUUUCUGGGACUUGUGAAGAUGCCGAGUUGAGAAAUGAGGUUGGCACAAAGCGGAAGGGACGACGCAUGGGUACCGCUGAGCCUUAGGCACGUCUCAGAACAGGUGAUGGCACCUUGUUCUGUGAUCUGUUGCUGCUGCUGCUGUCUGGUGGGGGGCUCCCAGGAGGGCAGGAGGCCAGAGAUGCUGCCCAGGCUGUCCCACCGUUGCUCAGGACCCGGCUGGUGGCUUCCGCCAGCCGAGCCUCAGACUUCUCCCCUUGCAAUUUCAGCUGCUACGCAUCCCUCAGCCUUUCUGUGCAUGAAGGCGCUUCUCCAGCAAUCUUCCGAAUUGCUUUUGCAUAUGGGCUAGUCAGACAUUCAAGCUCUACUUCUAACUUCAAACAGGUCACACUGUGGAUGCACAUAUGAAUGUCCCGACGAAGCAACAGUCUAGGAAGUUUCAUUACAGCUCUGAUUUUGACUCCCUGAUGAUUGUACUUCGAACGGGAAGUGAUUUCUGGCUCUGCCUUAGCUGCCUUGGAACGUCACUCAUGAGCUGCCCUGAACACACCGCAAAGCUGCGAGUUGUUUUCUUGUUUGUUUCGUCAAAGCUGCACCUGUUUUCUGUACUGAAAAUAGUGCCUCAUGGAUCUAAAGCCAAACCCAAGCCCGAGGCAGGAAACAAACAAACCAACAACGACAACCAGAAAAGACACUGUUACUCUGGUAUUCUGGUGGUACUAUCUCUAUUACAUCUAUCUGAUAGAAAAACUGCCCGGUGAAAUAUAACUACAGGGCCAUCCAGAGCCAGGGAAUGGCUGACUUCCCCUGGAGUAUUUGCUGGUAAUUGAAAUAAGCAGUAUUAACCACUCCCCAAACAAGCAGUAAUUUUUCGUACAUAAAAAUUAUUUUUUAUUAUGUAAGCAAAAUGUGUGUGUGAAAAGUCAAGGGCUCAUUGAUACUGGAUGGGACAGGUUUCCCCCGCUACCCAUGAGUAGAGCUUCCUCUGAAACCUGUCAUAAAGUGAAACGUCAUGAAGAAGCAGUUACCAGUUUGUAAAUGUGCAAAUCCUCAAAUUUCUUUGGGUGAGCGAAAACAUGUUGUAAGGUCGGUUUUCCAUAAAAGCCGAGUGGCACAAGGCAAACUUUUGGAAAGCGGGGAGACCUGUAUUUGAUCAAGGAACACCAAGUUUUGAAUCCUUUGUUGACGCAGCUCUCUCAUUUUCUCCCGAAGAUGUAACCCCAGGGAAUAACACACACAUGAAGUUGGAAAGAAGUACAUUCUCCUGAGUUGGGCUUUAGCUCCAGACACCCCUGCAGAGCAGCAGGGACUGGGAUGGACUCCUGGGAGGGCAGGCUUCCCUGAGGCUGGUGACCAUGCCGGGCCUGGAACAAGGCACACUGUGUGCUGUUGGGCUGACCCCUGCACACAGGUAGGUCUGGGAACUUGCGUCGCAAUGGAACAAGAAACCACUGCACCAGCCAGUGGACAGUAGAGAGCACAUUUGCUCAUUUAACGCCCCGUGUCUUCAUCUCUAAAGUCUGAGCGAACUUCCUUCUCAGGACAGAGUGAGGGGGUGGGAUGGGGAGGAAAGGACUCCUAGAGCAGCGUCUUCAACCAGUCUGCUCAUUAGAGGACAUUUAAAAGACACUAGCAUCUGGGUCCUAUCUCAGACUAACCAGAAUCCCUGGGGGUGGGGCUUAGACAUUUAAAGAAAAGCUUCUGUGGUGAUUAAGGGGCGCAGCCAAGAUUGGGAACCACUGUCCUAGACGCUAACAGUAUUUGUUAUAAAAAAGUGAAAAACUACAGUCAGACAAAUACAGUGAUUUCACUACCCCAAAAUGAUGACCAUUGCCAUUGUGGUCUUUGUAUCUCUAUCUAUGUCUGUUUCUGUCUCUAUGAGAUAUUUUCAAACAACGUGAAGAAUUAAUUGCUGCAACCUAGUAAUUGGUACAUGUAAAAUAUUUCUCUUAUAUAAUUUGUUCUAUUUCUGAGUGUGAGUCUUUCCCGAAGCUGUUCGCUAAAAAUGGAAAAACACCUCUGUCUCGGUCCAUGGGCUGCUAUAAUAAAAGAGCAUAGACUAGGUGGCUUAUAAACAACAAACAUCUAUUUCUCUGGAGGCAGGAAAUCCGAAAGCACCAGCAGGGGCCGGUGAAGGGUCUCUUUCUGGUUCAUACCUGGCGCCCUCUCGUUGUGACCUCACACGGUCUCUCUGGAGCAUCUUUCACAUGGCACUAAUCCCUUUCUCAGGGCUCUACCCUUCCAAGCACCCCUGAGAGGCUCCACCUACUAAUCCCAUCACCUUUGGGGAUCAGGAUUGUAACAUAUGAAUUUAGGGGGACACAAACAUUCUGUCCCCAGCAACCUCUCAAAUAUGUUCCUUUCUAUUUAUUCAAUUCUUUCCCUAUCUUGCCCUUUUCCAUACAUACACACACACACACACACACACACACACACACAGUGCCUAUUUAUUUUUGAGAGACAGGGGAGGGGUGGAGAGAGAAAGGGAGACAAAGGAUCUGAC